rnacentral:rRNA from 1 species
CCUACGGGUGGCAGCAGUGGGGAAUAUUGCACAAUGGGGGAAACCCUGAUGCAGCAACGCCGCGUGAGUGAAGAAGUAUUUCGGUAUGUAAAGCUCUAUCAGCAGGGAAGAAGAAAGACGGAACUGGACUAAGAAGCCCCGGCUAAAUACGUCCAAGCAGCCGCGGUAAUACGUAGGGGGCAAGCGUUUUCCGGUUUUACUGGGUGUAAAGGGGGCGUAGACGGCUGUGCAAGUCUGAAGUGAAAGCCCGUGGCUCAACCGCGGAACUGCUUUGGAAACUGUAAAACUGGAGUACUGGAGAGGCAGGCGGAAUUCCUAGUGUAGCGGUGAAAUGCGUAGAUAUUAGGAGGAACACCAGUGGCGAAGGCGGCCUACUGGACUGCAACUGACGUUGAGGCUCGAAGGCGUGGGGAGCAAACAGGAUUAGAUACCCGUGUAGUC